CGGAGGGGAGAUAAGAUCUCUCAAUGCUUGGUUUGGUCCAGCUGGAACAGUAACACCAUUACACCAUGAUCCACAUCAUAACAUACUAGCACAGGUUGUCGGGAAAAAGUACAUUCGGCUUUAUCCAGCAUCUAUGUCUGACGAACUUUUUCCCUACUCGGGCACCAUGCUUA